UACGUAGGGUCCGAGCGUUGUCCGGAAUUAUUGGGCGUAAAGGGUGCGUAGGUGGCUUGUUAAGUCAGGGGUGAAAGUUUUCGGCCCAACCGGAAAAUGGCCUUUGAUACUGGCGAGCUCGAGUGCGUGAGGGGUAACCGGAACGAGCAGUGUAGCGGUGAAAUGCGUAGAUAUUGCUCGGAAGGCCAACGGCGAAGGCAGGUUACUGGUACGCAACUGACACUGAGGCACGAAAGCGUGGGGAGCAAACGGG
rnacentral:rRNA from 1 species